GACGAACGCUGGCGGCGUGCCUAAUACAUGCAAGUCGAGCGGACUUGACGGAGCUUGCUCUGUUCAAGUUAGCGGCGGACGGGUGAGUAACACGUGGGUAACCUGCCUGUAAGACUGGGAUAACUCCGGGAAACCGGGGCUAAUACCGGAUAUUCUUUUUCUUCGCAUGAAGAAGAAUGGAAAGGCGGCUUUUAGCUGUCACUUACAGAUGGACCCGCGGCGCAUUAGCUAGUUGGUGAGGUAACGGCUCACCAAGGCGACGAUGCGUAGCCGACCUGAGAGGGUGAUCGGCCACACUGGGACUGAGACACGGCCCAGACUCCUACGGGAGGCAGCAGUAGGGAAUCUUCCGCAAUGGACGAAAGUCUGACGGAGCAACGCCGCGUGAGUGAAGAAGGUUUUCGGAUCGUAAAGCUCUGUUGUCAGGGAAGAACAAGUACCAAAGUAACUGUUGGUACCUUGACGGUACCUGACCAGAAAGCCACGGCUAACUACGUGCCAGCAGCCGCGGUAAUACGUAGGUGGCAAGCGUUGUCCGGAAUUAUUGGGCGUAAAGCGCGCGCAGGCGGCUUCUUAAGUCUGAUGUGAAAGCCCACGGCUCAACCGUGGAGGGUCAUUGGAAACUGGGAGGCUUGAGUGCAGAAGAGGAGAGCGGAAUUCCACGUGUAGCGGUGAAAUGCGUAGAGAUGUGGAGGAACACCAGUGGCGAAGGCGGCUCUCUGGUCUGUAACUGACGCUGAGGCGCGAAAGCGUGGGGAGCGAACAGGAUUAGAUACCCUGGUAGUCCACGCCGUAAACGAUGAGUGCUAAGUGUUGGAGGGUUUCCGCCCUUCAGUGCUGCAGCUAACGCAUAAGCACUCCGC
rnacentral:rRNA from 1 species